rnacentral:rRNA from 1 species
AGUGAACGCUGGCGGUAGGCCUAACACAUGCAAGUCGAACGGCAGCACAGUAAGAGCUUGCUCUUACGGGUGGCGAGUGGCGGACGGGUGAGGAAUACAUCGGAAUCUACUCUUUCGUGGGGGAUAACGUAGGGAAACUUACGCUAAUACCGCAUACGACCUACGGGUGAAAGCAGGGGAACUUCGGACCUUGUGCGAUUGAAUGAGCCGAUGUCGGAUUAGCUAGUUGGCGGGGUAAAGGCCCACCAAGGCGACGAUCCGUAGCUGGUCUGAGAGGAUGAUCAGCCACACUGGAACUGGGCCACGCUCCAGACUCCUCCGGGAGGCAGCAGUGGGGAAUAUUGGACAGUGGGCGCAAGCCUGAUCCAGCCAUCCCGCGUGGGUGAAGACGGCCUUCGGGUUGUAAAGCCCUUUUGUUGGGAAAGAAAAGCAGCAGGUUAAUACCCCGCUGUUCUGACGGUACCCAAAGAAUAAGCACCGGCUAACUACGUG